UACGGAGGGGGCUAGCGUUGUUCGUAAUUACUGGGCGUAAAGCGCACGUAGGCGGCUUUGUAAGUUAGAGGUGAAAGCCCGGGGCUCAACUCCGGAAUUGCCUUUAAGACUGCAUCGCUAGAAUUGUGGAGAGGUAAGUGGAAUUCCGAGUGUAGAGGUGAAAUUCGUAGAUAUUCGGAAGAACACCAGUGGCGAAGGCGACUUACUGGACACAUAUUGACGCUGAGGUGCGAAAGCGUGGGGAGCAAACAGG
rnacentral:rRNA from 1 species